UAACCCACUGAACAAGGCCGAGGAUCUAACAUGCAUCCUCACAGACUACAUCAGGUUCUUAACCCGCUUAGCCAUAAUGGGAACUCCUUGGCUGACAAUUUUAGUUGCCUUUUUACAUAUAUGGGCAGAGCCAGCUACAAUUAUUUCGAUGCCCACAAAGAUAUAGAUUAUUAUGAGGAAUCAUCUUAAUCCCAGUCUCUUGAAGCCAGUUCUUGGAAUUGUGUUCGCCAUAGAUUCAGUACUACUCAAGUUGGAGCAGCUUAUGUCAUGGCUACAGACUGAUAUCAUGGAGUUAACUUUUUUCCCCCUCCGGUGGUAGUUAAAGUAUCUGUGAAACAACUCAGGAAAGUGCAUCAGACUCUGAGUCUGUGAGUCUAUUGUCCUAAUUAUUAACUGAUAGGUUUUGUACUUGGGGUGGGUGAGCAGGAGCCUGCAGGGUUCUGCUCGGUUCCAGAUCCAAGGACACUAAGAAGAAACCGGGAUAUGAUUUCCUGGAAGCCAAAGGAAAAAUCAGGGCUUAGUGAGGAGGGAGUGAUCAAGUGUUUGAAAGGCUGAAAGUGAUUAAGUAAAAUGAGGCCCAAAAGCUUUCCACUUGGCUCCUUGUUUCUUCUCAUGCGAUAGAAUAGGAUCGACCCCUGGUGGCACCAAGACCCCGCCUCCCCAUCACCCCAACUGCUAGUUGCCUGAUGAAGGUGUUUUCCUCUUCCUUCUUCACAGAACCCUGGUUCUACCCAGGGCAGUAAUAGGUCUACCUCCCCUGAAGCCAGAAUUAAUUAUGGCAGAGGUAUUGUCAAUUAAGGGCAAACAGAAGGCAUGCAAUGGGGAUUUUUGGAAAGUUCAUUAGAGUGGACUAACUCAACUGACUUGAGUGCCCAUAUCCCUUUCUUCCUGCCUGACACGUGGCUACGAAGGCUGGAAAUCUGGGAGUUAUCCUGACAACAAAAAGAUGGUGGGCACCCUUCAAGGAAGGUGAAUAGGGAAGCUGGAAGAGCCCUGAUGGUAGAGGGACAUUAUAGAGCCUCCAUGCCAGUCUUGGACUAUUUACCUUUUGGUUUAUUUUGUGUGUGUGUGUGUGUGUGUGUGUGUGUGUGUGUGUGUGUGUGUAUAAAAUUUAACUAUCUUGCUUUAUUGUCUUGACAACUGAACCCAAUCCUCAGUGAUAGCCUAGCCUUGCAGUCUUCACCUUGGCCUUCCCUGGCAAAGAAGCCCUUAUCAUCCCACACAGUGGGACUCAGGUGGGACUGGAGGCUCAGGUCAUGGUUCUAGGACCAUCUCUGCUAGUCCCAUAUUAUGGCAUGCCUUUGGCCACAUCUCUGGAGCUGUCUUCAAACUUUGCUUUCUUCAUCUGUAAAAGGGGCCAACUCUUGUCCUUCCUUUAGGACCUGAUAUUUUUUUCUUCAGAAUUAAUUGUUCCUUAGUUAGCAGUGAACUGUUCCAGUUAUGCUGCUUGAAGUAAAUGGGAAUACAGUACAUCUUUGGGACCUGGAUUAGAUCAAGUCUGUGGGAAAGAAUCUGUGGGCCACCAAAAAAAUAAAAAUAAAAAAAUAAAGUCUGACAGAGUUUAGCUACUAAAUAGAAAGCUUAAUGCCUUUUAGUGGCUUGGAAAACCAAAAGCAAGAAAACUGAUAGCAAAAAAAACACAGGUGUAAAUGAAAUCAAAGCUUGGUUCAUUUAAAGGUCUAGAUUUGCAUUACAAAAUCAAAAAACCUGUGUCAAAGAGCCACGUGAUUUGCGCAAGCGUGGGUUUUCUGAAGGCUUUCCUCAUAACUGCUAAGAGAUGCUGGCCAACCCAGCUGUGCCUCAGGGAAUGCUCAGCUUUGCAGGUCGACCUCGAUGGGAACUGGCUUCCUGCUCCAGCCUGGUGUAUCUUCAGGUUGCGGAGGACUGCAGGAACACCCCAAGUUUAGGCUGCAUCUACCUUGAUCAGCUACAGCUUUCCUAGAGAAAAGGUUUGCCAAGCCCUAGCCUAGAGGAACUUGAGCUCCAAGAAUCGUGUAUGAGAAGCAGCAGAAACAUUUAAAUUCUCAAUUGCCAAGUAAAAGGAAGCGCUCCCUCCUCCUGGAGCACAAAGAGGGUCUUGGAAAGAGCAGAUCUGGAUGAAAUUUGAGAAGAAAAUACCCUUCAGAAAUAACCUCAGAAAGACAUCAAGACAUGGCAAGAAUUACCUAAUGUGGGCUUGGCAUACCCAGCAUUCUACUAUGUUUAUUUGUUCAAAACUAAUUUUGGUAACUUGUUCUCUGUGAUUUGAAAGCCCUGCCAGUCUCAAGCCACCCUUGCUAGUUGUUGGAGGGCCCAUUCCAUGGCCAGAUGGGAUUGCAACUGAAUCCCCACAACAGCCCUUGGAGGGUGGCCUUGGGUUCUCAGGCACUCAGUUUUUACAAGGGACACUGGCAGUUUGGUUUUAAGAGCAUGGCUUCUCAGCCAUUUGCAUGAUGAUAGUUCUAACUGAUUUUAGAGACUAUCCCCCAUGUACGGGAGAGACUUUAGUGGCCUCAAAGGCCUCUUUCUGAGAAAUGUCUUUGUUUUGUUUCUAAGGCAACAAGGUCAUUUAGUCCAGAAUAGGAGCUACUUUACAUAUGGAAAAUAUUAAUGACAGAAAUGAUUUGUGAAACAGGGCAAGAAUCACAUUUUCCACAUGCUAUUUUUCCCUUUUGUUCUUUGGCCACCUUUUCUGCAAACCCAUCAAUGAAGGAAAUCUAACGACUAGAAUAGCAGAAUGGGAUUGUAGUCUGUGAGAGAGACUACUUGUAAAUUCAAAUUCAUAGGCAGACCCCAUCUAGAAAUUCUCAUGGAAUCUUUGCAAAUGUUACAAGUCCAAAGGUUUCUAUUUUAAGGUCUCAUAAGAGACAAAAAUAUUUGAAAAUGUACAUUACUGCUUUCUUUUUCUUUUUCCUUCUUUUCCUGCAUUUUCUAAUGAACAUUAUAGCCAAGUAGAAAUGCACUCUUGGAGUUCCCAUUGUGGUCCAGUGGAAACAAACUUGACUAGUAUCCAUGAGGACACGGGUUCAA